AUUGAACGCUGGCGGAAGGCCUAAAACAUGCAAGUCGAACGAGUGGCGGACGGGUGAGUAAUGUCUGGGAAACUGCCUGAUGGAGGGGGAUAACUACUGGAAACGGUAGCUAAUACCGCAUCACAGCAGAUGUGCCCAGAUGGGAUUAGCUAGUUGGUGGGGUAACGGAUCACCAAGGAGACGAUCCCUAGCUGGUAUGAGAGGAUGACCAGCCACCCUGGAACUGAGACACGGUCCAGACUCCUACGUGAGGCAGCAGUGGUGAAUAUUGGACAAUGGGCGAAAGCCUGAUCCAGCCCUGCCGCGUGUGUGAAGAAGGUCUUCGGAUUGUAAAGCACUUUAAGUUGGGAGGCGUUACCAACAGAAUAAGCACCGGCUAACUUCGUGCCAGCAGCCGCGGUAAUUC
rnacentral:rRNA from 1 species